rnacentral:rRNA from 1 species
GAUGAACGCUAGCUACAGGCUUAACACAUGCAAGUCGAGGGGCAGCAUGAACAAAGCUUGCUUUGUUUGAUGGCGACCGGCGCACGGGUGCGUAACACGUAUCCAAUCUGCCCGCGGCUCGGGGAUAGCCCAUCGAAAGAUGGAUUAAAUACCCGAUGGCGUGGUCACUCCGCAUGGAGUUUCCACUAAAGGUUUUCCGGCCGCGGAUGAGGAUGCGUAUGGAUUAGGUAGUAGGCGGGGUAACGGCCCACCUAGCCUUCGAUCAUUAGGGGUUCUGAGNGGAAGGUCCCCCACACUGGAACUGAGACACGGUCCAGACUCCUACGGGAGGCAGCAGUGAGGAAUAUU